GAAGCUCCGCCAGCCGCCGCCAUGAGUAGCUUUGGAGCUGGCAAAACCAAAGAAGUUAUCUUCAGUGUGGAGGAUGGCUCCGUGAAAAUGUUCCUGAGGGGCCGCCCUGUGCCCAUGAUGAUCCCAGAUGAGCUGGCACCCACCUACAGCCUGGACACACGCUCGGAGCUGCCUUCUUGCCGGCUCAAGCUGGACUGGGUCUAUGGCUACCGUGGCCGAGACUGCCGGGCCAACCUUUAUUUGCUCCCCACCGGGGAGAUAGUGUACUUUGUGGCCUCCGUGGCCGUGCUAUACAGCGUGGAGGAGCAGAGGCAGCGACACUACCUGGGACACAACGAUGACAUCAAAUGCUUGGCCAUCCACCCAGAUAUGGUCACCAUCGCCACGGGACAGGUGGCGGGCACCACUAAGGAAGGGAAGCCGCUGCCGCCCCACGUGCGCAUCUGGGACUCAGUUUCCCUCUCCACCUUACACGUGCUGGGCUUGGGGGUGUUUGACAGAGCCGUGUGCUGUGUGGGCUUCUCCAAAUCUAAUGGGGGCAACCUGUUGUGUGCAGUGGACGAAUCCAAUGAUCACAUGCUCUCGGUGUGGGACUGGGCCAAGGAGACCAAGGUGGUGGAUGUCAAGUGCUCCAAUGAGGCUGUAUUGGUGGCCACCUUCCACCCCACGGACCCCACUGUGCUUAUCACCUGCGGGAAAUCUCACAUCUACUUCUGGACCUUGGAGGGGGGCAGCUUGAGCAAGCGGCAAGGCCUCUUUGAGGUGGGAACCGUAUCACACAGGCGGUGGUGGGCGCCCACGACGGCGGCGUGUUUGGGCUCUGCGCCCUGCGGGACGGGACGCUGGUGUCUGGAGGGGGCCGUGAUCGGCGGGUGGUCCUCUGGGGUUCUGACUACAGCAAGCUGCAGGAAGUGGAGGUCCCUGAGGACUUUGGCCCCGUGCGCACCGUGGCAGAGGGUCACGGAGACACACUGUACGUGGGGACCACCCGCAAUUCCAUCCUGCAGGGCUCCGUGCACACAGGCUUCUCGCUGCUGGUCCAGGUGCGCCUCUCUCCUCUGCACCCCUCCCCUCUUCCCAGCUCCUU
rnacentral:sRNA from 1 species